rnacentral:rRNA from 1 species
AACGAACGCUGGCGGCGUGGCUAAAACAUGCAAGUCGAACGCGAACGCUUUUUUCGGAAAGCAAGUAGAGUGGCGCAAGGGUGAGUAAUGCAUGGGCAACGUACCCUGGGCACGGGGAUAGCUGUGGGAAACUGCAGGUAAUACCCGAUGAGACCACGGUGUCACAAGACACAGCGGUCAAAGGCGGGGAUCCGCUUCGGCGGACCUGCUGGCCCGGGAGCGGCCCAUGUCCUAUCAGCUUGUUGGUGAGGUAACAGCUCACCAAGGCAACGACGGGUACCGGGACUGAGAGGUUGGCCCGGCACAUUGGGACUGAGACACUGCCCAGACUCCUACGGGAGGCUGCAGUAACGAAUAUUCCGCAAUGGGCGAAAGCCUGACGGAGCGACGCCGCGUGUGGGAAGAAGCCUUUCGGGGUGUAAACCACUGUCAGGGAUUACCAAGCAAUGGGGAUUAAUACUCCCCGGCGUUGAGGCGUCCCAGAGGAAGCCACGGCUAACUUCGUGCCAGCAGCCGCGGUAAGACGAAGGUGGCGAGCGUUGUUCGGAACCACUGGGCUUAAAGAGCACGUAGGCGGCCCGUCAAGUGUCUUGUGAAAGCCCUCGGCCCAACCGAGGAACUGCAGGGCAAACUGACGGACUUGAGGCGGGUAGGGGCGCACGGAACUCUUGGUGGAGCGGUGGAAUGCGUAGAUAUCAAGAGGAACGCCAGUGGCGAAAGCGGUGCGCUGGGCCUGUCCUGACGCUGAGGUGCGAAAGCCAGGGGAGCGAACGGGAUUAGAUACCCCGGUAGUCCUGGCCCUAAACGAUGUCCACUAGGUGAGAGGAUCUCUGACGUUUCUCUGGCCGAAACAAAAGCGAUAAGUGGACCGCCUGGGGAGUACGGUCGCAAGGCUAAAACUCAAAGGAAUUGACGGGGGCUCAUACAAGCGGUGGAGCAUGUUGCUUAAUUCGAUGCAACGCGAAGAACCUUAUCCUGGGUUUGACAUGGUUGGAUGCCUACUGGGAAACCAGGUCGGCUGCCCUUCGGGGUGAAACUUUCACAGGUGCUGCAUGGCUGUCGUCAGCUCGUGUCGUGAGAUGUUGGGUUAAGUCCCGUAACGAGCGAAACCCUUGUCGCUAGUUGCCAGCGCGUAAUGGCGGGGACUCUAGCGAGACUGCCGGUGUUAAACCGGAGGAAGGUGGGGAUGACGUCAAGUCCUCAUGGCCUUUAUGCCCAGGGCCGCAAACGUGCUACAAUGACCGGAACAAACCGACGCAAGACCGCGAGGUGGAGCAAAUCGGAAAAAUCCGGCCCCAGUUCGGAUUGGAGUCUGCAACUCGACUCCAUGAAGUUGGAAUCGCUAGUAAUCGCAGAUCAGCUAUGCUGCGGUGAAUAUGUUCCUGAGCCUUGUACACACCGCCCGUCAAGUCAUGGAAGCCGGGAGCACCCGAAGUCGGCCGAUUCAGUGCUGCCGAAGGUGAGUUCGGUGACUAGGACU